GGGCACGGCCAACUGGAGGCCCCCUUACUGCUGUUCGCACUCCGAGUGUGCCGUUAACUGCUUAACUAGCUUUACCUUGCUAAGUGCAGAAUUUAUGCCCGUCUGCGAGCGGCAGUGGGGCACAUGGUGAUAAGGCAGCCAGCUUGGACUGGGCAUUCACGAUGCCACGCUUCACAUCAGCCUCUCAGAUGGGCACCGUAGCCACCCCCAUCUCAUCCUGCCUUCUAGAGACAGAGAGCGAAACUCACAGGGGAAGGUUUUGCCCCAGGUCCCCUGCUGGCCAGUGUCAGAGCAGGGCCAGGAGCUGGACGGCCAAUGCCCUUGCCCACGGUCGCAUCCUCACGCUCGUUCCUCAGGACUCUGGUGACUGGCGUGCCAGGGCUGAGGUAAGGCACACGCACGACCGUGAGAAGGGAAUCUGGCACACCGACAACUCAUGGGAUCCCAAGGUCCUUGAAGACAGGAACUGGUUCUCACACUCAGACAAAGGCUUCUGGCCUUUGGUUGAAGUCUUGCAUUAGCCAAGGUUCUGUCUUCUGGACUGCCCCGGUUCUUGAUUCUUAUUUGAGUUUCCCUUCAUGUUGUAGAUGUACACAUAAAUAAUAAACAUAGAGUAUAGGGGCUCUUGGAUGGCUCCGUCAAUUAAACGUCCCACUCUUGGUUUUGGCUCUGGUCGUGAUCUCAUGGUUUCAUGAGUUCCAGCCCCACGUCGGGCUCUGCGCUGGCAGCGUGGAGCCUGCUUGGGAUUCUCUACCCCUCUCCCACUUUCACUGUCUCAAAACAAAUAAAUAAAACUUAAAGAAAAAUUUUUUAAACUAAAAAAAAAACCACAAAGUAUGUGUUUAAGCAUGUGCAAACGGGGUUGUUUAUACCCAAAUAAAUUAUCGUGUGUUUUAAUGGGAAACAAUUGAAAAUCGCAUCUAUAAUCUCACCAUAACUGGGGCACCUGGGUGGCUCAGUUGGUUCAGUGUCCAACCUCAGCUCAGGUCACGAUCUCACUGUUCAUGAGUUCGAGCCCCACACGGGGCUCGCUGCUGUCUGCGCAGAACCUGCUUCAGAUCCUCUGUCCCCCUCUCUCUCUGCGCCUCCCUCCCUUGUACUCUCUCUCUCAAAAUUAAACAUUAAAAAAGAAUAGUGAUAAAUAAAUAUAAUCUCACCAUAAUUGUAAUUUUCUAUUUUUUAACUUUCCCAUUCUUUUAUCUGGGUACAUAGUUUUUAUGUAGUCGCAAUCAAGGUGUGUAUAUGUAAGGUGACCUAAUUUAAAUAAUCUUGUAUUUGCUAACAGGUGCACAGUCAUUACAUUUGAUCUUUGUAAGAGCUUCCCUCAUAGUUUAUGUAACUGUUCCUCUCUGUAGUCCCUUUAGUAUACUUAGAGUUUUUCAGCAUUUUUUUAAAACAAUGCGCCCCUGUUUACUCAUUUUUUAGAGAGAUUGAGAACAGAGGAGGGACAGAGAGAAACGGGGACAGAGGAUCUGAAAGAGGGCUCUGCGCUGACUGCAACAAACCCGACGCAGGGCUCGAACUCACAAACUGUGAGAUCACGAUCUGAGCCGAAGCCAGAUGCUCAACUGACCGAGCCACCCAGGCGCCCCUCGAGUUUUUUUAAAUGAUGAUACUAUAAAUAUCUUUCGCGUAGAAUUUUUUUUCUCUUUAAUGAUUAUUUUGGAUUAAAUUUCCAAGAGUAGAAUCUCAGAGUCCACAUUUUUUAUGUGUAUUUGUACAUCUUGUCAGAUGGUCCUCUUAGCGAGUUUGCUCUGGUUUAUGCUGCUUCUGGUGAUGUGUAAGGGUGCACCUGCUCUGUGCAAGCCCGGGUGCCUUGUGCCCCGCUGCUUCUCUGCACUCACUCCCACAACUAAGCACACUGUGUUACAGACUCUUCCGUUCAACAGUUUGGUCAGUGGCUUGAAGAUAUAGGUGAAGGUCCAGAUUUACAGAUAACUCAGGCACAUGGAGAAUAGCGAGUGUGUGGGAGACAGGAUUGCAUCCAAAAAGCAGAAAUGGCAAAAUCUGGGGCGCCUGGGUGGCUCAGUCAGUUAAGCGUUCGACCCUUGACCCUUGAUUUUGGCUCAGGUCAUGAUCUCACAGUUGUGAGAUCGAGCCCCUCGUCCAACCAACUCUGUGCUGAGAAUGGAGCCUGCUUGGGAUUCUCUCCCUCCCCCUCCUUCUGCCCUCGCUUACACCUCCCUCUCUCAAAAAAAAAAAAAAAAAGAUAAAACCAGUUCUCUUUUUAAAAAAUGGCAGUGGGGCGCCUGGGUGGCUCAGUCGGUUGGGCGUCCGACUUCGGCUCAGGUCAUGAUCUCACGGUUUGUGAGUUAGAGCCCGGAGUCGGGCUCUGUGCUGACAGCUCAGAGCCUGGAGCCUGCUUCCGAUUCUGUGUCUCCCUCUCUCUGCCCUUCCCCUGUCUGUCUGUCUGUCUGUCUC